rnacentral:rRNA from 1 species
UACGUAGGGGGCGAGCGUUGUCCGAAGUUACUGGGCGUAAAGCGCGCGUAGGCGGGGGAUUAAGUGAGAGGUGAAAGGCUGGGGCUCAACCCCAUGCAGUGCCUCUCGUACUGGUUCUCUUGAGGGCGGUAGGGAGAAGUGGAAUGGCUGGUGUAGCGGUGAAAUGCGUAGAUAUCAGUCGGAACACCGGUGGCGAAGGCGGCUUCUUGGGCCGUUCCUGACGCUGAGGCGCGAAAGCUGGGGGAGCGAACGGG